rnacentral:rRNA from 1 species
AUUGAGCGCUGGCGGCGUGCUUAACACAUGCAAGUCGAACGCGAAAAGGGCUUCGGCCCUGAGUAAAGUGGCGCACGGGUGAGUAACACGUGGAUAAUCUGCCCUUAUGAUCGGGAUAACAGUCGGAAACGGCUGCUAAUACCGGAUACGCUCAAAAUGAACUUUUGGGGGAAAGGUGACCUCUGCUUGCAAGUUACCGCAUGAGGAUGAGUCCGCGUCCCAUUAGCUUGUUGGUGGGGUAAUGGCCUACCAAGGCAACGAUGGGUAGCCGAUUUGAGAGGAUGAUCGGCCACACUGGGACUGAAACACGGCCCAGACUCCUACGGGAGGCAGCAGUGGGGAAUAUUGGACAAUGGGGGGAACCCUGAUCCAGCAAUGCCGCGUGUGUGAAGAAGGCCUUAGGGUUGUAAAGCACUUUCAGUGGGGAGGAAGUUGCGUGUGCUAAUAUCAUACGUAAUUGACGUUACCCACAGAAGAAGCACCGGCUAACUCUGUGCCAGCAGCCGCAGUAA